CUGCAAGCUCUGCCUUCACCAGUAGCUGGUGCCAGGACAGAGCUCUGGGACAGCAGGCAGAGGCCGAGCCUGGGCCACAGCUCAGCCACUGACUUGGGUAUCAGUUUCCCCUUCUGAGAAGUACAGAGUGAGACUUAAAGAACCCCUAGAUCCCCACCAGUUCAACACUCCAUUAACUGGGAAGCCCAGAGUCCUGUCCGGCCUGCCAAGUUCAUCCUGGUGGACAGCGGGAGGCCUCCGCUAACUGUUCUCUUCUUUUCCUUAUUAAUAAAACACACAAUGCCUAGCUGGGGGGUCGGAAGGCAAAUGCCCUAGAUGGUGGGGUCACGUCUUUCUCCUUCUCCUUCCUCCUUCUGCUGGCUGAAGUGAUGACUGGAGCUCAGCAACCACUUUGCACCAUGAGGCAGCACUGAGCACGGUAGGGCAGCCUGGUGAGAGGGGCCUAGCUCGCUGCCGACAGAAGUCACUGCCUACCUCAGGGUCCCCUUACCUGGGUGGGAAAUAAAUUUCUGCUGUGUUGAAGCUAGUUAUUUGG
rnacentral:lncRNA from 1 species